GCAGCAUACUUAGCUUGCUAAGUUGAUGGCGACCGGCGCACGGGUGAGUAACACGUAUCCACCUGCCGAUGACUCGGGGAUAGCCUUUCGAAAGAAAGAUUAAUACCCGAUGGCUCCGCAUGGUUAAAGAAUUUCGGUCAUCGAUGGGGAUGCGUUCCAUUAGGUUGUUGGCGGGGUAACGGCCCACCAAGCCUUCGAUGGAUAGGGGUUCUGAGAGGAAGGUCCCCCACAUUGGAACUGAGACACGGUCCAAACUCUACGGGAGGCAGCAGUGAGGAAUAUUGGUCAAUGGACGAGAGUCUGAACCAGCCAAGUAGCGUGAAGGAUGACUGCCUAUGGGUUGUAAACUUCUUUUAUACGGGAAUAAGUGAGGCACGUGUGCCUUUUUGUAUGUACCGUAUGAAUAAGGAUCGGCUAACUCCGUGCCAGCAGCCGCGGUAAUACGGAGGAUCCGAGCGUUAUCCGGAUUUAUUGGGUUUAAAGGGAGCGUAGGCGGACGUUUAAGUCAGUUGUGAAAGUUUGCGGCUCAACCGUAAAAUUGCAGUUGAUACUGGGUGUCUUGAGUACAGUAGAGGCAGGCGGAAUUCGUGGUGUAGCGGCGAAAUGCUUAGAUAUCACGAAGAACUCCGAUUGCGAAGGCAGCUUGCUGGACUGUAACUGACGCUGAUGCUCGAAAGUGUGGGUAUCAAACAGGAUUAGAUACCCUGGUAG
rnacentral:rRNA from 1 species